GCUUGGGAGCCAUUUUGGACAACAAAAGCACACCACUGUGAAACCAAAGAAUAGACCCCAAAAGACCCUGGCGUGCCAGUGGACUCACGCGAUACCAGCACUCCGGGAGAAAAUUAGGACACAGAAAAUACACAGAGAAGGGUGGCUACAUAAAGACAUCGUGGAAGGAAGCCACCUGCCAGCCAAAGAGAAAGGCCUCACAAUGAAACCAAACACGCCAACACCUUGAUCCCGGAUAUUUAGCCUCCAGAAAUAUGAAGAAAUGUGUCUAGUAUUCAAGCCACAGAGAGUAUUUCAAAGAAGUGUUACAGAGAGGCCACCUCUGAUGAUGUCCUGUGAGAACUGCUGAUGCUCAGUAGGAGAAUACCAUGGUCUGAGUGUGAGCUCUGGGACACCUUCCAGCAACACCAAGACCCAUUGUUAGUGCCCAGCCAGCCCCCCAGCCUUCAGGAGCUGCUUUCUCUCACACACGUAUCUGUGGAACAUGCAAUAAAGCCUCUUUCUGCAACGGAAGGCUGGUCCAAUGGCUUUCUCUCUAUAAACCUCAGUUUCCUCAUUUUCAGAAAAUUUUUACGGCACUGACCACACAGGGUUCUUGUAAGGGUUUGAUGCACUGCUGCACGUAAAGUGCUCAGCCAGGAUUAUUACUGGGGGUGAGCAAUAAGGACCCUGUCCUCCAGCUAUCAGGGCUCUGUGUCCUCAUUGUGGGUUACUGCUUUCAGUCACAGAGGUGCAGACACAGAGACAGGCUGCCAUUGCUUCAAUACCCACCAACCCGUAGGACUUCCAAAGGACAUAAAGGGACAGAUAGCUCUGGGUCCUCACUCCUGGACAUUGGACACUUUGGGAUUAGGACAUUCAAAAACGACCAAAUACACAUCAGAAUUCAGAGAGACACUGCACAAGCUCAGGAAAGGUGCAAGCUCAGAAAAUCCUAAGCUUUCCACAGACACAGGCUACAAUAAUAAACAAAACCUAGCAAAUACUGGGGGAUGGUGAGAAUCAGAUUUCCAGAGUUACCACCAAUAGAAGAUUCAAAUUUCUAUGUUCAACCAAACACAGACAGACACACACACACACACACACUUUACAAAGAAACAAAGUAUGGCCCAUGAUGGGGGGAAGUCCUGAAGAGGGCUCACUAGACAAAGACUUACCUGUUUUAAAUAAAGGAAGCGUAGACAAAGACAGGGAAACGUGCUACGAACAAAACGAGGAUAUCAAAAAGACGACAUAAAGAGGAAACAACCACAAAAGAGGAAAAUUCUGGAGCUGAAAAAUACAAUUGCUGAAAUAAAAAAUUAGAAGGGUCCACAAAAACAUAUUCAAUCAGGUAGAACAAAGAUCAAU